AAAUGAAUAGACGGGGGCCCGCACAAGCAGAGGAGCAUGUGGCUUAAUUCGAUGCAACGCGAAGAACCUUACCCGGGCUUGACAUGCGGCUGCACAACCGGUGAAAGCCGGUUUCCUUCGAGGGUGCCGCACAGGUGCUGCAUGGCUGUCGUCAGUUCGUGCCGUGAGGUGUUUGGUUAAGUCCAGCAACGAACGCAACCCCUGUGCCGUGUUGCCAACGCGUAAUGGCGGGGACUCGCGGCAGACUGCCCGUUCACACGGGAGGAAGGUGGGGACGACGUCAAGUCAGUAUGGCCCUUACGCCCGGGGCCGCACACGUGCUACAAUGGCCGGCACAGAGGGAAGCGACGCCGCGAGGCGGAGCCAACCCCCAAAACCGGCCCCAGUUCGGAUCGGUGUCUGCAACCCGACACCGUGAAGCCGGAUUUGCUAGUAACGGCGCAUCAGCCACGGCGCCGUGAAUACGUUCCCGGGCCUUGUACACACCGCCCGU
rnacentral:rRNA from 1 species